UCUCCGUUGGUGAACCAGCGGAGGGAUCAUUACCGAGUUUACAACUCCCAAACCCUAUGUGAACUUUACCUUUUGUUGCUUCGGCGGGAUCGCCCUGGCGCUUCACGGCGCCUUAUCUCAGCGCCCGCCGGAGGCCCAAAACUCUUGUUUAUUUAUGUUUCCUAUCCGAGUGGCACAAGCAAAAUAAAUCAAAACUUUCAACAACGGAUCUCUUGGUUCUG
rnacentral:misc_RNA from 1 species